rnacentral:lncRNA from 1 species
AUGGCAGUCGUGCUCGCCCGUGGCCGGGCACUCCCAGAGCCGCUGCUCGUGCCCGCCGCAGCUCACCUCGUCCCGCAGGAUGGGCCCCAGGCCCCUGCCGAAGGAGGCGUCGCCGCGGGCGUGCAGGGCCCAGCCGCAGCUCAGCUGCCGGCACACCACCGCGGCGUCGGCCAGGUCCCAGCCGUCGUCGCACACCGUGCCCCAGACGCCCUCCUGCCGCAGCUCCACGCGGCCCUCGCAGCGGCUCUGGCCGCCCGCCAGCCGCAGUGCUGGGGCACCUGUCGGGAUGGAGGGGCGCUGCUGGCACCUCCAGGAGCCCCCACGUGCCGGGAGGGUGCGGUGGUGGCCACCGGCUCGUCCUGGCACCAGUAUGCCCUGGUGGCUCUUACCCGUGCAGGUGACGUGAGCCGGCCCCGCGGCGCAGCAGCCUGGCUCGGUGGCCAAGCGCAGCCAGCACGGCUCCAGCCCCCAGCCGCUGCAGUUGGCCAUGACCACGGGGCAGCCAUCGGUGCUGUCCCCUUCCCCCGGCAGGCUCGGCAGCGUGGCGUCCUCCUCGGUAUCCCCGCAGUGCAGGUGGCGGCAGAGCUCCUGGGAGGCUGCGGCGUGCCAGGACCGCCGGCACACGGGCAGCCAGCGGCCCCCCUGCAGCACCUGCACCGUGCCCUCGCAGCGGUCGCUGCCGCCAGCCAGGCGCAGCACGGCCUCGCCGGGGGGACCUGCGGACGGCAUGGGUGGAGGGCGCCGGAGGGGCCCUGGUUCUGGCUGCCCCCCCCAGGAGACCCGCUCUCACCUGGUUCCACUGAAGCGUUCCCAGCCGCGCCGCUCUUUGCCCUGGUGGGGGCCCCCCUUGGCUCCGCCGGGGCUGUGUGGAGGGGUCAGAGGUUUGGGGCUGAGCUCCGGGAGCCCCCGGCCCUGUCCUCCCACCCCGUGCCCUCGCCCCAGCCGUGUCCCCACCACGGGCACCGGGCAGGAGGCGGCCAGGGAGAUGCAGUUGAAAGACGGCAUGGACGGACGGCUGUGCCGACAGACAGACACACAGCCAGAGCCACCACACCCCUGGCCAUGAUGUGCCCCCACGUCCACCACCGACGUCCCCCAUUCACCCUCAAAGCCACCAGGCUGCCCGAGCCCCAUGUGGGGACACCUGGAGAGGGUGCGAGGGUGUACGCCUCGGCCCCCCAGCGAGUGGAGUCGUGCUGGGGAAGGAUGCACAAAAUGGCACCUAGAGGCUGCCACAAAAUGGGGGCCCGGAGAGGCCCAUGCAGGAAUGUCUCUCGCGCUCCUAAAACCCAACCUCUGCGGCUACACAUCAGCCUCCCGGUGUCGGGGGACACGACCCAGGGCUGCUUUGGGGGAGCUCCCAGCAUAGCCCCCGCUGCCCAGCCAGGCCCAGCCGGGGCUUUUGGUGCUGCCUGGACGUCGCCACUGGGGUGGCUGCAGGCAGAAGGCUGCGAGGGCAAAGCUGCUGCGUGCAAGGCACCGUGCACAUGCUGCUGGCAAAAUCUGUUCCGCCUCCGCUGUAACGGGCUGCAAGCUCGCAGCCUCAGGCCUCGCUCCUCAGCUCAGGAAGAGGAGCAGCUAUUGCAGAGAUGGUUUCUUACAAAAACAAGGGCACUUUUUUGCGGCGCAUCAGCCUGCGGUGGUGGUAAAGCCUGCUUUCACCUUCGCUCAGCGAUACUCCACAGGAAACAACACGCUUCAUUCCCAUCAUCUGCGAAACAACAGUCUUGUGCAAAAAACAGUUUUCCCUGCGAGCUGGGCACGGCUCAGGCUGCUGCUCCACGGGGAACCCAGCCCGUAGCCCCUGGAUGUGGCAGGACGGGGGCAGUGGGAGCCGUCAGCUGGAGCGCGGACACUGACGAUCAGUCACAGAUCAACCGGCAGCAGGGCUGGCAGCUGCUUCUGUCAGCCAUUUCAGGUGUGAAACCACCCUGA